AGUGAACGCUGGCGGCAGGCCUAACACAUGCCAGUCGAACGGCAGCACAGUAAGAGCUUGCUCUUACGGGUGGCGAGUGGCGGACGGGUGAGGAAUACAUCGGAAUCUACUUUUUCGUGGGGGAUAACGUAGGGAAACUUACGCUAAUACCGCAUACGACCUACGGGUGAAAGCAGGGGAUCUUCGGACCUUGCGCGAUUGAAUGAGCCGAUGUCGGAUUAGCUAGUUGGCGGGGUAAAGGCCCACCAAGGCGACGAUCCGUAGCUGGUCUGAGAGGAUGAUCAGCCACACUGGAACUGGGACACGGUCCAGACUCCUACGGGAGGCAGCAGUGGGGAAUAUUGGACAAUGGGCGCAAGCCUGAUCCAGCCAUACCGCGUGGGUGGAGAAGGCCUUCGGGUUGUAAAGCCCUUUUGUUGGGAAAGAAAAGCAGCAGGUUAAUACCCCGCUGUUCUGACGGUACCCAAAGAAUAAGCACCGGCUAACUUCGUG
rnacentral:rRNA from 1 species